UUUCCUGUGCUUUUUCCAAGGUUUUAUGGAAAAGAUUCCAAGAUUUUCUGAAGAUAUUCCUUAAAUUCCUGUUGAUAUCCCAGGAUUUUGUGAAGAUAUUCCAUAAAUUCCUGUCCAAAUUCCAAGGUUUUCCUGUGUUAUUCCAUAAAUUCCUGUCGAUAUCCCAAGUUUUCCUGUUAUUCCAAGAUUUUAUGGAAAAUAUUCCAAGAUUUUCUGAGGAUAUUCCAUAAAUUCCUGUUGAUAUCCCGAGGUUUUCCUGUGCUUUUUCCAAGGUUUUAUGGAAAAUAUUCCAAGAUUUUUGUGAGGAUAUUCCUUAAAUUCCUGUCAUUAUCCCAAGGUUUUCUGAAGAUAUUCCUUAAAUUCCUGUUGAUAUCCCAAGAUUUUCCUGUGACAUUCCAUAAAUUCCUGUCCAUAUCCCAA